AAUAGAUACCCGGGUAGUCCACGCCGUAAACGAUGAGUGCUAAGUGUUAGAGGGUUUCCGCCCUUUAGUGCUGCAGCUAACGCAUUAAGCACUCCGCCUGGGGAGUACGGCCGCAAGGCUGAAACUCAAAGGAAUUGACGGGGGCCCGCACAAGCGGUGGAGCAUGUGGUUUAAUUCGAAGCAACGCGAAGAACCUUACCAGGUCUUGACAUCCUCUGCCAACCCUAGAGAUAGGGCGUUCCCCUUCGGGGGACAGAGUGACAGGUGGUGCAUGGUUGUCGUCAGCUCGUGUCGUGAGAUGUUGGGUUAAGUCCCGCAACGAGCGCAACCCUUGAUCUUAGUUGCCAGCAUUCAGUUGGGCACUCUAAGGUGACUGCCGGUGACAAACCGGAGGAAGGUGGGGAUGACGUCAAAUCAUCGAUGCCCCUUAUGACCUGGGCUACACACGUGCUACAAUGGAUGGUACAAAGAGCUGCGAACCCGGCGAGGGUAAGCGAAUCUCAUAAAGCCAUUCUCAGUUCGGAUUGUAGG
rnacentral:rRNA from 1 species